GCCAGCAGUCAUAUCUCCCUGCAACUCACAACUGACAACCCACUGAAGCUAAGCAGGUGUGAGCCUGGUCAGUACCUGGAUGGGAGACCUCCUGGGAAAAACUAAGGUUGCUGCUGGAA
rnacentral:rRNA from 1 species